UACGGAGGAUCCGAGCGUUAUCCGGAUUUAUUGGGUUUAAAGGGUGCGUAGGCGGCCUAUUAAGUCAGGGGUGAAAGACGGUAGCUUAACUAUCGCAGUGCCUUUGAUACUGAUGGGCUUGAAUGUACUUGAGGUAGGCGGAAUGUGACAAGUAGCGGUGAAAUGCAUAGAUAUGUCACAGAACACCAAUUGCGAAGGCAACUUACUAAAGUAUGAUUGACGCUGAGGCACGAAAGCGUGGGGAUCAAACAGG
rnacentral:rRNA from 1 species